GCAAAGAAUGAAUGCUGGAGUGUGUUACUGUGCUUCAUUACAAUCCCUAGAAAACUUUAGAAAGGGUGUUUCUGUCCACCCACAAAAAUCAAAAGAUAAAUCUAUGAUUGCGCGGCAGGCCUGAUAAUCCACACCAGACCAAUCAGAAAAGAGGACAAUCUGUGACUUGUUGAUUAAUUAACAAACCCGGUGUUGUUGUCCACUACCAGCCGGCUGGAGGCCCCAACUCGUUUGGCUCCGUCUACGCGGUGCCAGGAGAUUAGCACAUGGAUGCAUCCGCCGGCAGUACCAACUGCACAUCAAAGAACAACGGAUUAGUACGUUGACAGGGAUAGAAAGAAAAAUAUGAAACUCGGACACACGGAAUUUGCAGUUAUCAACAAACACUAAUUUGAAUACCUUCUAAAUCUCACAUAGUGCAGGGCUGCUCUGAAUAUCAUUGUGUUCCGUAAAUAAUGUUCCUUUCCUAGUCUACUACCGGGUGCACAAUCCAUCGACCACCAUGAUCCUCUGUCACAUUAAAGCUGUCCUACAUCAUCAGAUUAGAGUCUUUGCUCUUGUUGAUAAAUUGCGUAACACUCUGAAACACAACGAUAUUUUUUUACUCGUCAGAUUCAGAUUGGAGUCUGUUUUUUUACUCUGAAACACAAAAAGAACAUUGUCCCAUUGUCAACGGAGUAAAGAAAGAAUAGAUUAUCUUCAUGCCCCCGUAUUUAUGAAAAAUAUUUAUUCAACAAAAACAUGUCUACCUGCCCACUUCAUUGCAAACCAACUCACGUGUGCAGCAACAUUAUUUAUUAAUAAUGUAAAAUAUGUCUGCUACUCAACAAAGUUUAGAACCAAAUGGACAACUAUGAAGAAGCAUAAAUAUUUUGUAAUCCUUUUUAGCUUCCCUUACAUGUUGUAGGCAGCAUACGAUACUUAUCUGAAAUACCUAAAGGCACAAGAAAAGCUAGUGUAGAAUGAAGAAACUUUAAUCUAACCUCGCUCAAUCUGGUGUAUUUCCUUGAGCACCCAUGCGAGUGUCUUAGCUCUUCUUCAUACGCAUGGGGCACGAGCAUGUUCUCCAGGGAGGACAGUAGCUCUCACCCACGACCUCCUCGAUGUCGUUGGCGAAGUAGCAGAGGGUGACGGUGUGGAAUUGCUUGGUCGCUUGUGUGGGUGACCUCAAGGCGUUGCUGGUGGGAGGUCACAGACAAGCGCGUGCUGUCGGUGAAGAUGGAUCUAGAGAACAAGAAUUCAACCUACAAUUAAAAACUGCACAUACAUACUAUGUAUGCCCUCCAUAUGUCUCAAUUCAGAUUACACAUGUCUUACCUGCAUCUCAAUACUCCACAUAAUGUUGGUCACUCAGAUUGUCCUCCUCGUCUUCUACAAUUUUGCUGUUCGUGUACGCUACCCUAACCCCUGGUCAAAAAGCAAUUAUCGAUUAGUGCAAAGGGAUAACAUAGAGAGGGCAGAAAAAUGACCGGUGCAACUCCCAGCCACAUCUCUCACAAAUUCAUCUCCAUUGCCGACCAAAUACGAGUGCAAAAUCGCCUGCUCCCUAGCCUCUCAACCAUGUCAGGUGUAAAUAGAACAGCCGCCAGUCGUCGCCUCCGCCCAUCGACCACACAUCAUGCAGAG
rnacentral:lncRNA from 1 species